CCCGGGCAUGGUGGCGCACGCCUGUAAUCCCAACUACUCGGAGGCUGAGGCAGGAGAAUCGCUAGAACCCAGGAGGCGGAGGUUGCAGUGAGCCCAGAUCGUGCCACUGCACUCCAGCAUGGGUGACAGAGCAAGACUCUGUCUCAAAAAAAAAAAAAAAUUGUUUCUUCAAUAAUUUUGUUGUUGUUGUUGUUUUGAUUUUGAGACAGAGUCUCACUCUGUCACCAGGCUGGAGUGUUGUGGCAAGAUCUCGGCUCACUGCAACCUCCACCUCCUGGGUUCAAGCGAUUCUCCUGCCUCAGU
rfam:Homo sapiens chromosome 8, GRCh38 reference primary assembly.